GGUUCUUGUUGUCUGAGUUUCUACGUCUGGACUUGCACACCUGUUCCUGAUUGUGCUGAUAUUCACCUAUAUAAACCCUGCCCUGUUGUAUACUCGUUGUCAGAUCGUUUGUUCCUGUUGGUUCCUGUUUGCUGUUAUUCUGACUCCUGUUUUUUGAUCCUCUGCUCAUCCUUCAUAUCUGCCUGUCUGCUGCCUGUCCUGACCUUU